rnacentral:lncRNA from 1 species
GUUGGACUAUUUGGCGGGGACGAACCCACGUUAUGGCCCAUGGGGACAUCUGUCCCCACUUAAUUAUUUUGGCUGAUCCAUUGAAAGUAUAGUGUUGUCGUUCUUUCACUGGGACCAAAUUACAAGUUCUUACCAGUUUCUUACAGCUAGAUCAAAAGAGAAUGAUUUUUGGUGCACAAAUUCAAAUGCCUCUAAACCGAAACAGAGCACCGAUUCACACAAGCAAGUUUGGCAAUGGGUCAGAGUUUCUGAAACUUAAGAUGAGAAAGAGAAAAUAUUUUUUUGGGUGAUUUUGUUUACGAGAACAGCAAAACUAAAAGCAAGAUUUAACACAGAUCCCAAGCAAACAUCUAAGUAUUGGAUAGGAGAAAAGUAACUAGAAUGGGACAGAUUAUAAGCACUAGUUAAACUCUGAAAUCUAGUGAACAGUAACUGAAUUUUUUUUGUUUUUUUCUCAGGCAAAAAGAUCACAGCACAAAGCAAAGGAUCCACUGAUUUCUAAUGCAAAACAAACUGAAUACUCGACAACAAGAUUAACUAACUACAAAAGAUUGGGUGGAUCUCAGAUUUUUGCAAAUAAAAACACUAACAGUAGAUAGACUAAUUAGUUCUACUACUUUGAACCGUUAAUAGAGUGAGAUUACAGCAACAAGCAAGAAUUGGGUAGAGAUGUAGACUUCAUCACCAAGCACAUGAACAAAGGAAGGGACAGAUUAUUGCAGCUAAUCGACAGAAUAAGCUUGUUGUAGUGGAAGCAGAGGUUGAAGAAUGGGGCAGAGUUGUUGUCGCGCCGUAGAGCUUCAGCAAAGAUCGGGGGCGAGGUUGC